GACGGGGGGUGCAAGUGUUCUUCGGAAUGACUGGGCGUAAAGGGCACGUAGGCGGUGAAUCGGGUUGAAAGUGAAAGUCGCCAAAAAGUGGCGGAAUGCUCUCGAAACCAAUUCACUUGAGUGAGACAGAGGAGAGUGGAAUUUCGUGUGUAGGGGUGAAAUCCGUAGAUCUACGAAGGAACGCCAAAAGCGAAGGCAGCUCUCUGGGUCCCUACAGACGCUGGGGUGCGAAAGCAUGGGGAGCGAACAGG
rnacentral:rRNA from 1 species